UGCCCAACGUGGGGCUCGAACCCACAACUCUGAGAUUAAGCACCUCAUGUUCUACCAACUAGCCCGGCUAGCC